rnacentral:rRNA from 1 species
GAUGAACGCUGGCGGUAUCCUUAACACAUGCAAGUCGAACGAUGUCUUCGGACAUAGUGGCGGACGGGUGAGUAACGCGUGAGAAUCUGCCUCUAGGUUGGGGAUAACGGUUGGAAACGACCGCUAAUACCCAAUGUGCCGCAAGGUGAAAAAUUUAUUGCCUGGAGAGGAGCUCGCGUCUGAUUAGCUAGUUGGUGUAGGUAAUGGCUCACCAAGGCAUCGAUCAGUAGCUGGUCUGAGAGGAUGAUCAGCCACACUGGGACUGAGACACGGCCCAGACUCCUACGGGAGGCAGCAGUGGGGAAUUUUCCGCAAUGGGCGAAAGCCUGACGGAGCAACGCCGCGUGAGGGAUGAAGGCCUCUGGGCUGUAAACCUCUUUUAUCAAGGAAGAAGAUCUGACGGUACUUGAUGAAUAAGCCACGGCUAAUUCCGUG